GGGAAAACUACUCUGGCUGACUGUCUUAUAUCUAGCAAUGGAAUCAUCUCCAGCUGCCUGGCAGGAAAGCUAAGGUACAUGGACAGCAGAGAUGAACAGAUACGAGGGAUCACUAUGAAAUCCAGUGCCAUUUCCCUGCACUAUACCAACGGUGAGUCAGUGGACGUUUUAGAGAAAAACAGUUUUGUAUCUUCCAUAGCCUCUCUCUCUUCCUGAAUUAAUUGCAUGCCUCAGUUUCUUUACUUUGUAUUCCAUGAAUUUCGUUCUGGCCUCCAAGUGCUCUACUGUCAGUCAGGCUGUCCAGUCUCAGAUGCGGAUGGGGGCCUCUGGCUGGCUGGCCGCACGGGAGCGGCAGUCCCGCUGCCCCCCUCCACCCCGGAGACUCAGAGGAAGGUCAGGACUUCCGGGAGCCUGCGGGCGCAGCCCGUGUGUCCCAGUUCCUGGUCGCGUCCUCCUGGUCUGUGACUUGUAUUGAAUUUAGAGUCUUGUUUACCUAAGUGUGGGCUGCAUGGUCCCUACAGCUUGUUUCCCCAAAUCAGGUUGUCAUUUUAACAGUAACACCUCUAGAAAUUUAUCUGACAGGAAUAGUUCAGUCAGAAUGUGAGAUACACGUUCAUUGAUAAUUCACCAAAAAGUUUGUAUUAGUGGAAAAACAAAUGCCAACCUUAAUGUCUUGUCUUUGAAAAUGGUUAAGUAAACAUAUAUCCAUGCUGUGAAGUGCUAUGCAGCUGUUCAAACUCUUUGCUCUAUAUGUAAUAGAGAGAAAAUAUGUGAAGAGACAAAAACCCAGUUGCAAAAUAAAUACUUUUAAGAUAUUAAUGUGUUUAGGUUAUAAAAAUAUGUAUGUAGAUAAAGAUGUCUGGAAAGGUACAUACCAAAAUCUUAAGAUUAGCUAUCUGCAGGAAGUGGAUUAUGUGAAAUGUACAUUUUUAAGAGUAUUUAUUUUUGUAUUGUUUGGAAAUUUUACACAAAAUAAGUAUUUUCAUAAUUAGAAAACAAUAAUAAAGAUGAAUUUCAUUUC